GAUGAAGAACGUAGCGAAAUGCGAUACGUAACGUGAAUUGCAGAAUUCAGUGAAUCAUCGAAUCUUUGAACGCAUAUUGCGCUCUCUGGUAUUCCGGAGAGCAUGCUUGUUUGAGUAUCAGUAAACACCUCAACUCCCUUUUCUUUUUUGAAAUGGGAGCUGGACUUGAGUGAUCCCAACACUUUUCUCACUGGAAAGUGGCGGGUCACUUGAAAUGCAGGUGCAGCUGGACUUUUCUCUGAGCUAUAAGCAUAUCUAUUUAGUCUGCCUAAAAAACAGAUUAUUACCUUUGCUGCAGCUAACAUAAAGGAGAUGAGUUCUUGUGCUGACUGAUGCAGGAUUCACAGAGACAGCUUUGCGGCUGACUUUGUAAACUCGAUCUCAAAUCAAGUAAGACUACCCGCUGAACUUAAGCAUAUCAAUAAGCGGAGGA
rnacentral:misc_RNA from 1 species